UACGUAGGGGGCAAGCGUUGUCCGGAUUUAUUGGGCGUAAAGAGCUCGUAGGCGGCUUGGCAAGUCGGGUGUGAAACCUCCAGGCUCAACCUGGAGACGCCACUCGAUACUGCCAUGGCUAGAGUCCGGUAGGGGACCACGGAAUUCCUGGUGUAGCGGUGAAAUGCGCAGAUAUCAGGAGGAACACCGGUGGCGAAGGCGGUGGUCUGGGCCGGCACUGACGCUGAGGAGCGAAAGCGUGGGUAGCAAACAGG
rnacentral:rRNA from 1 species